rnacentral:lncRNA from 1 species
AUCUCAUGUUUUUUCCUUUUUUGCACCAGCCAUGAAAUGAAUCAUUUUUUCCGCCUCAGAUUCAUUUUCUUGGAGAACAGCAUCUAGGAACUAAGAUCUAAGUGUCAAGUAUGCUUAGUACUGUUGAGGCGUUACGGUUUCUAGGUCCUCUCAUUAGAUAGAGCUAGUAAAUAUGUGUACAGUAAUAUACAUUUUGUAGCAUGAAUACAAAUGUAUUUUUAUUUCCUUGUUCAUCUGUAUGUAAAUUAAAAACCAUGGUUUUAUUGAUGCUGCUAGUUUGAAUCCCAUAUCUAUUCUAGAGUUCAUGCCAGUCUUUUUUUUUUUCUUUUCUUUUUUUUUUUUUAAGCUUUUUCCCUUUCCUUUUACUUUCUUUUCCAAAGGUAAGAAACUUGGGUUCUUUUUCACAAUAUAUAUUAACUUAUUUGCUGUAUCCUUGUACACACACAAAAGUAGUUUCAGAAUUGCCAACUUUCUCCCAUAUGUAACACACAUUUAAAAAAAAUUUUUUUUUUCUAGUGAGGUGAGGUCGUUAACCUAUAUAGUUUUUUAUCUUUUUCCUCUUUAUUGCUUUUGUUGUAUCAGAUUAUCUCUUUUUAUGCUGUUUGUUAACCACAUUGAAGUGGCUAUAGUUAUUCUUUCUUUCCCACUCUCCCCCCUUUAACUUUUAUGCUAUUAAUAAGGUGUUUUAAGAACCUGAUAAAGAGUUGCAGUUUUGUGAUUCUGUUUAUCACCUUACUCAAAGCUUUGUGUACAUCUGCCUUUUUGUUUCUGGUAGAAGGCAAGUUGUCUGGGAAAGUCAAUUUCCCCUUCAUAUCCAAAUGAUAACUUUGCUUGCUAGAGUAUUCUUGGCUGACAGUUUUAUCUUUCGAUAUUUUGAGAAUGUCAUUACACUCUCUCCUGGCCUGUAGAGUUUCUGCUGAGAAGCUGCUGGAAGUCUAAGGUGGGGGAGGGGGUCCUUCGUAGGUUACCAUCCUUUUCUCCCUGGCUGUCUUUAAAACUCUUUCUUUGUCCUUGAUUUUUGACAAAUUUAAUGUAGUGUGAUAGUGUGUAUUGGAGAAGGUUUUUUGUUUGUUUUGCCUUGAGGUAAUUAGGUAUUCCUUUAGCUUCAUGGACUUGUGUAUAAGGUUCCUUCUCCAGGCUUGGGAAAUUUUCAACUAUUUAUUCUUUAGGUAAACUCUGUUCCCUUCUCUGUCUAUUCUCCUGGGAAACUCAUUACACUAACGUUGUCUUUCCUAAAGGAAAUUGUAAAAUUUCAUCAUUUAAAAAAUAUUUCUCUUUUCUCUUCUACCUUUAGACUUCUGGUUUUCUUUUUUGCUUUUCAGGGUCACACGCUUGGCAUAUGGAAGUUCCCAGGCUAGGGUUUGAAUCCGAGCUAUAGCUGCUGGCCUACACCACAGCAGAAUCUGAGCCGUGUCUGUGACAUACACCACAGCUCACAGCAGUGACGGAUCCCCAACCCACUGAAUGAAGCCAGGGUUCAAAUCUGCAUCCUCAUGGAUGCUAGUCAGAUUUGCUUCUGCUGUACCAUAAUGGGAACUCCCUAGAUUAUUAGUUUUCUAUCUUCAAGCUCACUAGUUCUCUCUUCCAUAUGGUCUACUCUAUUUCUCUUGCUUUCUAAUGCAUUCUUCAACUCGUUUAUUGAAUUCUUCAUGUCUGAAAUUUGUUUGGUCCCUUUUUAGAGUUUCAGUCUCUUUGAUAAAGUAUUCCUUCUGUUCAUUAAUUUUAUUCCUGAGCUCAUUGAACUACUUCGAGUUUCCUUGUAGCUCAUUGAGUUUCUUCAUGACAGCUGUUUGGAAUUCUCUACCAAACAAUGUUCUGUGACUUUUAAGUUUGAUUUCUGGAGAAUAGUCAUUUUCUUUUUGUGGUAUAGUGUUACUGUGAUUCUUUUGUUGCUUGAUGAGUUGUUCCUGUAGCCAGUGCAUUUGAAGUAGCGGCUUUUUUGCUUGAUACUGAGCUGCCUCUUCUUAUAUUUGCAAGUUGGUACUUUCCACUGUCCAUCACCUCUCUUAGAGGUAUAGCUCCAGUUUUCUCAUUAUUGUAUCUUGUGCCUCCAGAGUUGUUGGUACCUUGCUUCUGCCAGUGUCACUGGUGUCAUAAUGUUGGUACAUGGUGUGCUUAGAUGGUGGGCUCUUCCUUUGUAUCAGAGAUCCCCUGAGUCUAAAGCUCCAUUGCUAUGGAAGGGGAAAGGAAGGGUAAGGGGGAGGAAGUCAGUGUUGCACAGCCACUUUGGUCUUGUAAGGUUUAAGGGCUGUGCUCCUGCAGGUGGGAUGUGGGGAGUGCAGUCGUGGGUACCUUGGUGGCUGGAGGGCUGGGUUCUCAGGCCCUGCUGUUGCCCAGUUAACCUGUGGUCUAGAGGAAGGAGACCUGCAUACCAGGAGUAGGCUUCUCUGGGGCUGAGAGCUCAGCUGCUGAGAUGGGAGGGUAGGGACUGCAGAUAACACCUCUGCGUGUUUCAGUCUGCUCACCUUUAGAUGUACUGAUGUAUGGCAUUCUCCUGCAGCCUGGUGUGUUGGGCAGAGGCCAUUUUGUGUUGUGGAUGUUUUGCUGGUUGUAGAUUGAAAGGGAGAGACAAAAAUAACUCUUCACUCUGCUGUGUUGCUGACGUCCGAGAAACACGUUUUUAUUUUAUUUUAAAAAUUUUUUAAAUUUUUUGUCUUUUUAGGGCCACCCCCAAGGCACAUGGAGGUUCCCAACUAGGGGUCUAAUUGGAGCUGUAGCUGCCAGCCUACACCACAACCACAGCAAUGCCAGAUCUGAUCCGCAUCUGUGACCUACACCACAGCUCACAGCAACGCCAGAUCCUUAACCCACUGAGCAAGGCCAGGGAUCGAACCCGCAACUUCAUGGUUCCUAGUCGGAUUCGUUAACCACUGUGCCACGAUGGGAACUCCUCAUUUCAUUCUUUUUUUAUUAAAUAAUAUUCUGCUUUAUGCUUUGUUUACCCAUUUAUCAGUGAGACAUUUCAUUUGUUUCUACCUUUUUGACUAAUAAUCAAAAUAGUACUGUGAACAUUCUUUUUUUUUAUUAUUAUUAUUAAGGGUCGCAGCUGUGAUAUAUGGAAGAUCCCAGGCUAGGGGUUGAAUCUGAGCUACAGCUGCGACCCUUAAUAAUAAUAAUAAGGUUGCACCACAGCCACAGCAACUCAGUAUUGGGGCUGCAUCAGCAGUGUACACCAUAGCUUAUGGCAAUGCCAGAUCCUUGACGCCACAGGUUGAACCCGCAUCCUCAGUAGAAACUAGUAGGAUGCAUUUGUGCUGCACCACAAUGGAAACUCCUAUGUGAACAUUCUUGUACAGGUUUUUGUGUGAACAUAUGUGUAUAUAUAUUCACUUUCGAAUGUGUACUUGGGAGUGGAAGUGCUGGGUUAUAUGGUAAAUCUGUUUAGUUUAUUGAGGAACUUCUGUGCAGGUUGUAUUAUUUUUCAUUCCUACCAGCAGCAUUUGAAGGUUCUGAUUAAUUUCUCCCCAUGCUCUCCAAUACUUGUUAUUUUCUUUCUUUUUUAAAAAAUUGCCAUCCCAUGGGUUAUGAAAUGGUAUUAUGUUGUGGUUUUGAUUUGUGUUUCCCUAAUGACUAAUGCUGUCAAGCAUCUUUUCAUGAGAGUUCCCUCGUGGCUCAGUGUGUUAAGAAUCCAUUGUUGUCAUUGCUGUGGCUCAGGUCACUGCUGUGAUGUGGGUUUGAUUCCUAUUUCAGGAAUUUCUGCAUGCCUUGGGCAAAAAAAAAAAAAAAGAAAUCAUCCUUUCAUGUGCAUAUCUAUGGAGAAAUGUUUAUUCAGAUCCUUUGCCCUUUCAUGAUUUUAUUAUUUGGCUUUUUAUUGCUGAGUUUCAAGACUCUUUCCUUAUUCUGGAUCCUGGGUAACAAUACCUGUACUUAUACAAGUAUACAAAGAAGUUUGUGCAAAGGUAUUUCCUGCAGCACUUAUAAGACCCUUAUUAGACAUAAGAUUUGCCAGUAGUUCUCUCAUUUUAGGUUGUCUUUUCACUUUUGAUGGUGUCUUUGAUAUCUUUUGCAGUGCAAAUAUUAAAAAUUUUGAUGAAGUAUGAUUUGUCUGUUUUUUUUUUUCUUUCAUUACUUGUGCUUUAGUUUUUGUAUCUAAGAAACCACUGCCUGCUUCUGGGUAACAGAUGUGUUUUCUUGUGAGAAUUUUAGUUUAGCUUUCACACUUGAUCCGUUUUGAGUUAAUGUUUGUGUAUGGUGUUAGUUGAGGGUCCAACUUCAUGGAAUAUGCAGUUAUUGAAGACUUGUUUUUUUCUCCAUUGAAUUGCCUUGGCAUCCUUUGUUUGUUUUUUGUUUUUUUUUUGGCUGACCUGUUGCAUAUGGAGUUCCUGGGCCAGGAAUCAGAUCCUAGUUGCAGUUGUGACUUAGGCCUCAGCUAUAGCAAUGCUAGACCCUUAACCCACUGUGCUGGGCUGGGGAUUGAACCUGUGUCCCAAUGCUCAAAACAUACUGCUGGUCCUGUUGUGCCACAGUGAGAAUUCUGGCACCCUUGUUAAAAAUCAGUUGACCAUGGAUGUAUGGAUUUGUUUUAGACUCUCAGUCCUUUUGCAUUGAUCUAUAUGCCUGUCUUGAUGCCCAUACCACAGUGUUAGUGUUACUGUAGUAAGUUUUGAAAGUACGGUUUAUGAGCCUGACAACUUUGUUCUUCUUUUUCAAGACUCUUUUGUCUAUUUUGAGUCAAAUGAAUUUUAGAAUAAGGUUGGUUGUUUCUGUAAAAAAGGCAGUUGGAGUUCUCACAGGCAUUGCACUGAAUUGUCGUUUAAUUUGAGGAUGUAAUGUUCUUACAUAGGUACAAACAUAAGAUCUUUUUGAAUGUUUGGGUAUCAUUUUAUUCUAUAUAACUGUACAAAAUGGCUUUAAAAAUUUCAGUUACUACUAUUUUAUUCCUUCUUUGCUCUCUUUUCCAGAGAUUAACUUAGUGGGAGGACAAGCUGUAUUAUUCAAUAAAAGAUAUAGGGACAGUUAGCUAACUUUAGUUAAAAAAAAAUGUUGGGGACUUCCUGUUGUGGCUCAGAGGUUAACGAACCUGACUAGUAUCUAUGAGGUCUCGGGUUCGAUCUCUGGCCUUGCCCAGUGGGUUAAGGAUCCAGGAUUGCCGUGAGCUGUGGUGUAGAUUGCAGAUGCAGCUUGGAUCUGGCGUUGUUGUGGCUAAGGCAUAGGCCAGCAGCUUCAGCUCUGAUUCAAUCUCUAGCCUGGGAACCUCCAUGUGCCACGGAUAUGGCCCUAAAAAGACCAAAAAAAAAAAAAAAA